rnacentral:rRNA from 1 species
GACAGAGGGUGCAACCGUUGUUCGGAAUUACUGGGCGUAAAGCGCGUGUAGGCUGUCCCGCAAGUCGGAUGUGAAAGCCCUGGGCUCAACCUAGGAAGUGCACUCGAAACUGCGGGACUGGAGUCCUGGAGAGGAAGGCGGAAUUCUCGGUGUAGAGGUGAAAUUCGUAGAUAUCGAGAGGAACACCGGUGGCGAAGGCGGCCUUCUGGACAGUGACUGACGCUGAGACGCGAAAGCGUGGGGAGCAAACAGG